AGCGAACGCUGGCGGCAGGCCUAACACAUGCAAGUCGAACGAACUCUUCGGAGUUAGUGGCGGUCGUGUGGGUACCACCUGGGAACGUGCCUUUUGGUUCGGUAUAACUCAGGGAAACUUGUGCUCAUACCGAAUGUGCUCUUCGGGGGUAAGAUUUAUCGCCAUUAGAGCGGCCCGCGUCUGAUUAGCUAGUUGGUGAGGUACCGGCUCACCAAGGCGACGAUCAGUAGCUGGUCUGAGAGGAUGACCAGCCACACUGGGACUGAGACACGGCCCAGACUCCUACGGGAGGGAGCAGUGGGGAAUCUAGCGCAAUGGGCGAAAGCCUGACGAAGCCAUGCCGCGGGAAUGAUGAAGGUCGUAGGAUUGUAAAAUUCUUUCACCGGGGACGAUAGUGACGGUACCCGGAGAAGAAGCCCCGGCUAACUUCGUG
rnacentral:rRNA from 1 species